rnacentral:rRNA from 1 species
UACAGAGGGGGGCAAGCGUUAUUCGGAAUUAUUGGGCGUAAAGGGCGCGUAGGCGGCCUUUCAAGUGACGGGUGAAAGCCCUCGGCUUAACCGAGGAACUGCCUGUCAGACUGGAAGGCUUGAGACCGGGAGAGGUGAGUGGAAUUCCCAGUGUAGCGGUGAAAUGCGUAGAUAUUGGGAGGAACACCAGUGGCGAAGGCGGCUCACUGGACCGGUACUGACGCUGAGGCGCGAAAGCGUGGGGAGCAAACAGG